CACGUAGGGCGCAAGCGUUGUCCGGAAUUAUUGGGCGUAAAGAGCUCGUAGGUGGUUUGUUACGUCUGCUGUGAAAACCUAGGGCUUAACCCUGGGCUUGCAGUGGAUACGGGCAGACUAGAGGUAGGUAGGGGAGAAUGGAAUUCCUGGUGUAGCGGUGAAAUGCGCAGAUAUCAGGAGGAACACCGGUGGCGAAAGCGGCGUGCUGGACCUCUUCUGACGCUGAGGCGCGAAAGCUAGGGGAGCAAACGGG
rnacentral:rRNA from 1 species